GUUCCGGCUUAUAUCAUUAACACCCAUCUAACAUUAUGAUUUAAAUAUCAACUAUUGUGUGAUUUAUCACAAAGGUCAUUUACUGUAAUACAUCCAUCUGUAAUCUUUGUACAAAAAACAUUUUCAAUUGUAAAAUCGAAGUAUGGCGUUAUUGAAGAGUUGUUCCUGUUUUUGUUCGAAUUCCCUUGGAGAUAUAGAUUCACCAAGCAAGAUCUUCUUUUGCCUAGAUUGUGAUUCAACCAUGUGUAAUUCUUGUAAGACAGUUCAUGAGAAAAUAACAACACUUACAGGACAUAGUCUUAUUAAAUAUGAAGAAGUGAAUUCGUUCCCAACUACAUCACUGAUGCAGGCCAUCAAUUGUUACCGCCACCAUGGUGAAAAAAGAGAGUUUUAUUGUUCAGAUCAUUGUUCAUCUUUUUGUUUUACAUGUUUUCUACAAGACCACAGACGAUGUGAGCAUUCAGAAAGGAUUGAAAAAAUAGCCAAUGGUCUGAACCAGUCAGUUAGACUUGAGGAAAUAAUAAAUAAAAUAGAAAAACAACAAAAUUCAUUACAAACCAUGCAUGAUCAUAAAAAUUCUAAUCUCCAAGCGUUAAAAGAAGAAAGACCCAAACUAGAGGCGGAAAUGUCAGCUCUUAUCGAAAAAAUUAACAGCCAUGUAUUAUCAGUUAUUGAUGAAACGGGCAACUUACUAAACACAGAAAUAAAGGCGCUUGAGGAAGACAUGCAAGAAAUUAAAAAGGAUAUAGAAAAGCUUGAAAGACAAAAGAUUGACAUAAAUCUAGUCUCUAAUGUAUGCUCACAUUCCAAAACAUUCCUAUUUUUACAUGAAACAGAAAACAUACUGAGCAAAAACGAGGAGAAAUUCGACAGGAUGAAGUCCGAUUGUAAUCUAGUGAAACUAAUUGUGUCUGUGUCUGAUAAUAUGGGAACGUUACUUAAGAACAUCACAAACGUCUCAAUAGACCGUACUUCUGCUAAAAUACCAAGUUCUUCAAAUGCAAUGAUCCCAUAUGAGGCUAACUAACACCAACUUUAAAGAUUUAAAAUAUUCAACAAUUAGACUGCUUGUCCUACAUGAUUUCUUUAUCCCUUAAUUCCAGUCGGUUUAUAUAUGGUGACUUGAACACAUGGGUGCUAUACUUUAGGGCUAUGUCUUCGGGCAGAAUACUAUAUUUGUAAUAGAGAAAAAACUCAUUAAAGAUACCAGGCUUA